UACGUAGGCAGCGAGCGUUGUUCGGAGUUACUGGGCGUAAAGGGUGUGUAGGCGGUCUUCUAAGUCUGGUGUGAAAUCUCCCGGCUCAACUGGGAGGGUGCGCCGGAAACUGGGAGGCUAGAGUGUGGGAUGGGAGAGUGGAAUUCCUGGUGUAGCGGUGAAAUGCGUAGAUAUCAGGAGGAACACCUGUGGUGUAGACGGCUCUCUGGACCGCAACUGACGCUGAGACACGAAAAGCGUGGGUAGCAAACAGG
rnacentral:rRNA from 1 species